CAAAGGGAGGACACCAAAUGUGAUUUGGCCCAGGCAGUUACGACCAUUUAUUGCCAGCAUCUUUCUCAGAUACUGCUGCCAAGGGUUAAAAUGUUUACAUGCCCCCUGAUUUUAAAUGGACCGGGCUGCAUGUCAAAUGCCAACGAGAGGGACAGCUGGAGUAUCUAAACCAAGAGCUUUGAUCUUGGUAUCUGUAAAAAAGAGGUCAUUUGGUCUCCCCAGGAAGCACAGACAUUUAGAAGGUCCUCGUACAACUCAUGCAAGUAUUUUAUUAACAACAAUUUCUAUUCACAUUUAGACAUCACUUGUGAACGUAAAUUCCGUGGAGCUUAUGGAAAAUGAGCAAGACUAUCAGUCCUUGUGCACACAAUGUGCUCAGGUGAAGAAGAAGCUGACCUGUUGUGGCUGGUUUCAACGAGGAAUUAGGAGACCUGGGUGUAUAAGUCGUCCAAACAAUACCUGACUCACCAUCAAAGGCUGAAGGUUGUGCCUUCCAGAGGCAAAAAGCAAAGUGCCCCUCAGUACCCACUGCCCCAGGUAUUGAGGCUGACCACAACUGAUCCUUUUGAAGCUGCCACGAGCCCAGAGGGAAUCACAGCCUGCAGGAGACCCCCAAAACAAGGAACACAAACAGGUGAAACUUCAGGGGUCUGUGUCCCUGGCUUCCAGGCAAAGCAAUGUGGAAAGAUGGAUGAACAGAACUGCACCCUGAAAGUAAUCUGCUCAUGGAAACUAUCCUGGAAUAUUGGAUUGGGCCAGCUCUGUGAUGGUCAUGAUGAAUGGAUGAACAGAUUUCCCACAAGCUCAGUGAGGAAAGACUUGAUGAUUAAUUAAUUUAGUUUUGCCAUUUGGAUUACUUACAGUGAAAGACCCAAAUGCACUUCAAAGACACUAACAUCUCUAGUUUAAUGAUGGUUGAAUAAUUAAUUACUGCUAUUUCAGUUUCUCCAAGUGGGAAAAAUCAGGCAUAUUAAGCCUUAGGCACUAUCAAACACCCAAUAGGUCUGCAUAAAGGCUUGUGAUGGAGUCAAAAUAUCUCAUUAUUUGGCUGAAGAUUCAGUCUCAAAGUCUAGUAUGUUUGGUACAUGCAUAUUUCCAAACCUGUCUGAAGAUGAUGGGUUUGGUAGAAACAUUUUAUUCAAGAUAAAUGGGAGAUGAAAAAAAAAGCUCUUUAAUUUAAC
rnacentral:lncRNA from 1 species